CCUACGGGAGGCAGCAGUGAGGAAUAUUGGUCAAUGGUCGUAAGACUGAACCAGCCAAGCCGCGUGAGGGAAGAAGGCGCUAAGCGUCGUAAACCUCUUUUGCCGGGGAACAAGAGGCAUCACGCGUGGUGCUGUGAGUGUACCCGGAGAAAAAGCAUCGGCUAACUCCGUGCCAGCAGCCGCGGUAAUACGGAGGAUGCGAGCGUUAUCCGGAUUUAUUGGGUUUAAAGGGUGCGCAGGCGGACUGUUAAGUCAGCGGUAAAAUAGCGGGGCUCAACCCCGUCGAGCCGUUGAAACUGGCAGACUUGAGUUGGCGAGAAGUAUGCGGAAUGCGCGGUGUAGCGGUGAAAUGCUUAGAUAUCGCGCAGAACUCCGAUUGCGAAGGCAGCAUACCGGCGCCAUACUGACGCUCAGGCACGAAAGU
rnacentral:rRNA from 1 species